rnacentral:lncRNA from 1 species
AGGAAGAAAAAUAUAUUUACUAUUCAUUAAGUGGAAGUCAUAACGAUCUUCAUCCUCCUCAUCUUCAUGUUGUGUAGGCCAAGGAGGAGAAGGAAGGGGGGUUGGUCUCACUGUCUCAGGAGUGGCAGAGGCAGAAUAGGUAGCAGAGGUGGAAAGAGAAGCUGGAGAGGCAGGCACACUUGGUGUAACUUUUGUUGAAAAAAAAUCUGCACAGCAGUGGAUCUGCAAAGUUUAAACCUGUGUUGUUCAAGAAUCAACUGUAUUUAGAGGAAGUGCUAAAUAUGGGAUUCAACCCUACACCAGCUCUUUCUCCUAAUUGGAAACUCACUUUCCCCUGAUGACACUAUUUUCCACGAAAGCCAUUCCCUUUCUAAUCCUGACUUUCAUAUUUCCUGACUCACUGGGUAAGGGGGUAUCUGUGUAAUCUUUGCUUUGCCCUGUAACUUCAAAUUCAGUAAAGCAGUAUCUUUCUACAACCUCUCCUCCUUCAACCACCAGCUACUAAGACGCUUUUCUGCCUUCUCAGAAACUUCAGGUCCUGGCUUAUAAUUUAUUUCCCACUCCUCCCUGAAGUCAUCCUUGGAUACUUUCGCAUCAUGUAGCUUCUAAUUUCACAUCUUCUAUAUUUUCCCACCUCCCUCACUUGCAUGGUUUCUAUGCCUAGAAAUGUAGCCACACUGGAUUGAAAAACACU